rnacentral:misc_RNA from 1 species
UAAUAAGUGUUUAUGGCACUUCUUAAAUCCAUAUCCACCUUGUGUGCAAUGUCAGCCGUUUCUUUAUGAAAGCGGCCAAACAUCAACUUAUUUUUACUGUCUGUCUGAAAAAUAUAUGAAUAAACAAUUCAAAUA